rnacentral:rRNA from 1 species
UGGGGAAUUUUGGACAAUGGGGGAAACCCUGAUCCAGCCAUCCCGCGUGUGCGAUGAAGGCCUUCGGGUUGUAAAGCACUUUUGGCAGGAAAGAAACGUCAUGGGUUAAUACCCCGUGAAACUGACGGUACCUGCAGAAUAAGCACCGGCUAACUACGUGCCAGCAGCCGCGGUAAUACGUAGGGUGCAAGCGUUAAUCGGAAUUACUGGGCGUAAAGCGUGCGCAGGCGGUUCGGAAAGAAAGAUGUGAAAUCCCAGAGCUCAACUUUCGAUCUCCAUUUUUACCUUCCGUCCUCUAGUGUGUCAUAGGGAGUUGUAAUUCCGCGUGUAGCAGUGAAAUGCGUAGUUAUGCGGAGGUACACCGAUGGCGAAAGCAGCCUCCUGGGAUAACACUGACGCUCAUGCACGAAAGCGUGGGGAGCAAACAGG